AGGAGAUGUUGGGCAAGGAAUGACCAAAGAGCCAAAGGAAGUGAGAUCUGAUGGUCAGGGAGUUUUUCAGGGACUUCCCAGAUCUCAUUUCCCUCCCCCACCCUCCACCUCCAUUACAACAGUGCAGGCCCCUUGAGGGUCUCUGGCCUCUGCUUGGUUUUCCAGAUGCACUCCCCAAGCCUUCCCUCUCAGCCCGACUUGCUCAAAGGUGGUGUCAGGGGCGAACAUGACCCUCCCUUGCUGGGGGCCCUCAUGGAGUGGUAGCUUUGUUCUGGACAAGGUUGGAGAUAAGAAAAUGCUGCCCAGCACUGAUACCACUGGAGAUGGGGCCAAGUUCUUUCUGACUCAUGUGACCCCCCAGGCACUCUGGCAAUUACAGCUGCAGCCACCAGCUUCUCACCAUUGGAAGUCUCUGGACACAACACAGUGACCCCCUGCAGCUCACAGUGACAGGUGAGAGGAAGAAGCCCGCUGGAGGACCCACUGGAGGGAGCCAAGGACCACUUCCACCUUCUGCCUCUACAAGGAAAUGAAACCAAGGCCUUAGCUCUAGCCAAGAGACAUAGGAUAAGAGACAACAGAGACUUUGAUAUUUUCCCCAAUUCCAGGCCCAUAGAGACCAAGGGUGUCAAGUUGUGAAAUGAAGCUUCCCUCAUACUUACCUGUGACCCACAUAUCUUGAUCCAGCUCUCUGGGUUUCUCAACCUAGUUCCAAAGGAUAAGCCCACUCUGAGCAGCAUGUGUGCCAAACUGUUGGAUGCCGGUGGUGAUGGGCAUCUCUGGAGGGAGAUAAGAGAAGAAAAUACAGGGACACUUUCAAGGGCAAGGUGUCUUUGUUGCCCUUGUCUUUCCUGGAGUUCCUGCCUGCCCAUCAGCCUGAAGUCCCCCGAGAGGAGACCCUGUAUACAGAAGUGGCCAAGGAGAGACCAAGGGAACCAUCGUCACCCAAUGUGAGGCCUCUGAACUCAUCGGGGCGAGUUGUUAGUAUUCCAGUAACUACACCUGAGUAUCAUUUAUUUCCUUUGGGAUUGUAUGGAAUUCAUUUCAUGUAAUUAAAGGAAUGGGACUGAGAAGCCUUCAUGGCUUGCAUCAGACAGGCUGUCGGAGCAUUCACGACGCACCGAUCGAUGAAGAGUCAAAAAAGAAGAGGGCAGAGAACAGAGCGCAGAAGAGACGGAAGGACGAUCAGGCACAGCUGCCUACCUAGACCGAGACCGCCAUGAUCUGCAACUGAGCCACAGAUUGGAGGCAGCAAAAUAUAAAAGUGAGUCGGAUCUAAGCAAGCAGCGCUUGGAAGAAUCAACGUGGAGCAAUGCGGAGCAGCAGAGGAGUUUGAAAUAGACUACAAGACCAUGGGAAACAGGUCUAUCCAGCAGAUGCUAUAAGAUCCCCGGUCCCAGUGGGAGCAGCAAAAAAAUAGAUAAAUGAAUAAACAGAUAGAUAGAUAGAUAGAUAGAUAGAUAGAUAGAUAGAUAGAUAGAUAGAUAAAUGAAUGAAGGGAUAAAUAAACAAAAACAAAAAACAUUGAUUAGAAGGUCAGUUUCAAAAACUUUGGGAACACACUGUUGCUUCUGCUCUUGGGGAUUCAGCAAUGUUGGCCACCAGACCCACACAAACAAACUUCUGUUCCCGUCACAGUAUACGACUAUGUGUGAAUGGAAACCACACUUUGGGCUGCUUCCUCAGCAGCCCAAAGAGCUCACAUGUCUGCAUUCCCUACUACUACAGCUCACGAGCCCCUAUGGAUGUGCUUCAACUUUGACAGUCAGCUAGUAGAAAAAAAAUAAGCUCGAAGAAAAGAGAUUUUCUUGGUAGGCCUAAGGAACACUUUACCACAAACACAUACUCUAUCCAUAGGAAAAAGAGAAAAAUGAACAGAAAUCAGAAAACAUUACAUACA